CCUGACGCAGCGACGCCGCGUGAGGGAAGAAGGUUUUCGGAUUGUAAACCUCUGUCCUUGGUGACGAUAAUGACGGUAGCCAAGGAGGAAGCCACGGCUAACUACGUGCCAGCAGCCGCGGUAAUACGUAGGUGGCAAGCGUUGUCCGGAAUUACUGGGUGUAAAGGGAGCGCAGGCGGAACUGCAAGUUGGGUGUUUAAUCUACGGGCUCAACCCGUAUCAGCAUUCAAAACUGUGGUUCUUGAGUAAUGCAGAGGUAGGCGGAAUUCCCGGUGUAGCGGUGGAAUGCGUAGAUAUCGGGAGGAACACCAGUGGCGAAGGCGGCCUACUGGGCAUCAACUGACGCUGAGGCUCGAAAGCAUGGGUAGCAAACAGGAUUAGAUACCCUGGUAGUCCAUGCUGUAAACGAUGAUUACUAGGUGUGGGAAGAUUGACCCUUUCCGUGCCGCAGUUAACACAAUAAGUAAUCCACCUGGGGAGUACGACCGCAAGGUUGAAACUCAAAGGAAUUGACGG
rnacentral:rRNA from 1 species